UACGUAGGUGGCAAGCGUUGUCCGGAUUUAUUGGGUUUAAAGGGUGCGUAGGCGGUUCUAUGAGUCAGUGGUGAAAUCCGGCAGCUCAACUGUCGAUGUGCCAUUGAUACUGCAGAACUUGAGUACAGACGAGGUAGGCGGAAUUGACGGUGUAGCGGUGAAAUGCUUAGAUAUCGUCAAGAACACCGAUAGCGAAGGCAGCUUACUAGACAGUUAUUGACACUGAGGCACGAAAGCGUGGGGAUCAAACAGG
rnacentral:rRNA from 1 species